GGCCGCGUGCCCGAGUGGACUAAGGGGGCGGAUUGCAAAUCCGUUGCUCGAAAGAGCGUCGUCGGUUCGAAUCCGACCGCGGCCU
rnacentral:tRNA from 1 species